UAGCGAGUAACCCCAGAGUGCAGUCUGGACGAUGGGGCGGGGCGACACUUCGAGGCGGAGCGACACGUGUCGCCCCGCCCAUAUUUGUUUUCCCCGCCUUUGACAUUUUCCUCCGAGCCAGCAGGGGGCAGUUUGCGUUGAAACAAACAGAACGGUGGCAACUACAGCAGCAGAGUUAUAACGCUAUUCCGUUGAUUGCUUGAGGAUGACAUGAUCAGGAGGUGGUGGUGUUCUGUUCUCCUGGACAGCUUUACUCCGCAAAUAGCUCAACCACUGAGGGGAGGAACUUCACCAUUCACCAUGUCUUCAGGCAGAGUCCAGCAAAGCAGCUUCCACUGGAAAUCCUCAGGGAAGUUAUUUUGUCGGCGGGUGACUCUGCAUAUCUGACACUUUCUCUGGUUUGCAGAUGGUUUAGGGAUGUGCUCCGAAGUUUUUCGGAAAGCGGCACAGUUUGCCUGGCUAGAGAGUAAGAUUUCCCCGUUUAAUGCUCAUUCUCCAAUUGAAUUUUGUAGUAGAAGGCUGUUAAACUUUUUUUGUAUUAUUAUUAUUAUCUUUCAUGUAUUUUGUCUUUACACUAUAAGUUGUGGCCAACUGGAAGAAUUGUCCUCCUGUCUCCUGACCGUAACGAGUUCAGACGGAUAUACAGCAUCAGGGACUGCUUGCAGUGCAGAGCCCUUUUCAAGUUUAACCCACCAGGGUACAGGGAAGAGACCGGCGUGGUGAUCUUCUGAGCUUUUGUUUACACAGGAUUUUGUUCCAAGGACUGUUUUUUUUUUUUUUUUUCGGCAUGAAACACAUUUGUGUGUUAAAUUCAUUGAGGGGAAAUAGAGAAUGGACUGAGAUCAACUGGUUUUGAUGUAUUAAUUGAUGUCAUUUAAAGUUAAACUUUGCAGUGUAUAAUGUUUUAAUAAAAAAGCUAUGAAAAACACGUGCAUGACAACAGGUUUCAGUCAUUUACAUCAGUCUAUCAUUCUUUAAGGUUUCUCAUAUUUGAUGAUAACAUCAUUUGCUAUGCAUUGCUCAUAAUGGAUUCUUAAUUUAGUUGUGACAGGAUUGUGAGGAUUAAUGAGGUUUUCAGUAGUGCAGUUCAGAAAACAAAUAACAGAAAGUAACAAGUGUUUUUUCCUUGCAAAAAGUAACCAUGGAUUUAUUGUAGUAAAAAUAUUUGUUGGCAUAUUAAUUACUGUGAGCUGUAAUUAUAAAAACACCAUAGUUUUACUAUAGUUACUGUAGCAGAACCAUGGUAAAUUUUCGUAGGGGCCAAGGGAAUGUUCACAAUAUUAUUGGUGACGUUCAGAGACUGGUGACAAUUUGUUACACACACACACACACACACACACACACACAUAUAUAUAUAUGUAUGUAUAUAUAAUUUGAAUAUAUAAAUCAAGGUACUCCAUGACUAUCUACAUAACCAUACUUCGC